CUUCGACCCAUGUAUCGAGACCUGACACUGUGAGCAAUCCAAGAUGUUGAAGGUCACCAUGUUACUGCUGAGUGUUGCAAUGCUCUUGCUUGGAUCUGUGAGCGGAAAAGCGCCUGGAAAGUCCGGACUCAUCGAUGACCUGGUCAAGAGACAAGGCAGCAUGAUGAAAGAUUUGACGGACAUUCACGAAGCAG